AAGUCGUAACAAGGUUUCCGUAGGUGAACCUGCGGAAGGAUCAUUAACAAAUCUGUGCCUAGCACAUUAACGCCGGGCGCGAGCCUGGUAUAUUGCUGCGCGAGCGGCGAUAUUUACGCUUGAAUGUAUGACUGAAUCUAUGGAUAUAAAGAACACAACUUUUAACAAUGGAUCUCUAGGCUCUU
rnacentral:misc_RNA from 1 species